rnacentral:rRNA from 1 species
ACUAACGCUGGCGGCGUGCCUAACACAUGCAAGUCGAACGAUUCUUUGAUUAUAGCAAUAUUAUUAAAGAGGAGUGGCGAACGGGUGAGUAACACGUAGAUAAUCUGCCUUUCAGACGGGGACAACUCAGGGAAACUUGUGCUAAUACCCGAUGAGACCACAAGAAGGGAUUUUUGUGGCCAAAGGCGGGCAGCAAUGCUCGUGCUGAAAGAUGAGUCUGCGUCCUAUCAGCUAGUUGGUGGGGUAAAUGCCUACCAAGGCUAAGACGGGUAGCCGGCCUGAGAGGGUGAACGGCCACACUGGGACUGAGACACGGCCCAGACUCCUACGGGAGGCAGCAGUGAGGAAUUUUCCGCAAUGGGCGCAAGCCUGACGGAGCGACGCCGCGUGAGGGAUGACAAGCUUUCGGGUUGUAAACCUCUUUUAUUAAGGAAAAAGAUCUAUAUGCUAAUAUCAUGUAGAUUUGAUGGUACUUAUUGAAUAAGCCCCGGCUAACUACGUGCCAGCAGCAGC